CAGAGGGAGAAGCAGGCUCCCUGCAGGGAGCCUGAUGUGGAGUUGAUCCCAGGACCCUGGGAUCAUGCCCUGGGCCAAAGGCAGAUGCUUAACCACUGGGCCACCCAGGUGCCCCCCAAGAGGGAGUGUUCCACCACACAAGUGGAAUAUGCCAGUCUGCAGGCUGAGAUGCAGACAUUGGUGUGGGGUCACUUCUGCUGUACUCCCUUGAUCUGGUAGUCCGAGUCUACCCCGAUCCAAGGGGAGGGAGCAUAGACCCUACUCCUUGAGGGAGGAGGGUCGAAUUUACGGGCAUCCUGAAGCUAUAAAACUAACCCCAUGAGGUUUUGAGGGAAUUAAUGUAGCUCCCCCAGAACCGCAUCUGACACACAGAAAGUGCUCACAAUCUAUUAUUACCAUUGUUGUUACCAUCAGCAUGGUUAGAACUCCCUGGAUAAGCUCAGAUGACUGACUGGGAGCUUGAGCAGAGCUCAGGGUGGUAGAAGCUUUCAGAAGGAGUAAGCAUUCUGACCACCCUGAGCCAAAGCCCAGCUCCUCUCUGGCUGUGCAACCUCCUGCAGGUCCCUUGACUUCUCUGAUCCACGGUCCCCUGGCCUGUAAGGUGAGAUAACGACACCCAGCUCUGAGGGCAUUUGGAAGUGUUUGGGCAGAUCAUGCCUGGGUAGCAUUUUGCAUGGUUCCUGGCACAGAAGUGGUAAUUAUUGUUAUGAUUCUUAAGCAGGUGAGGUUGCAGGACAAGUUGGGGGUGGGGGCUGGGCAGGGAGCGAGCAGAGCAUUCCAGGUAGGAAACCCGCCUGCAAAUCUGGGAGGGGAGAGAUGGCGCAGAAGAAUGGCAGGAUGUUCAAAGAAUUAGAGGGUGGAGGGCGUGGCCAGAGUGGGUGGGUCUGAAAGGGCCCUUAGAUGUCUCUUGAGGGCACAGGGGAGCCACAGGAGGGGCAGGGACAGAAAGGGUUUAAGUGUGGAUCCAUAGGCUGGCAGAGGCUGGAGGGAGGAGGCUGGAGGAGAGGAUGGGAUCUGUGCUGGGGUCUGGCCAGUGGGAAUGGAGAGGAAGGGGCAGAGGAGGGGGAAGAGAGGAGGGAAGAAGUCUUCCCAACCUGUGCAUAGAUGUGGAAUGGCACUUGAGAUGGAGAGCCCAGGAAGGGGUUGUAUUGGAGGGAAGAUGCUGAGUUUAGUGGGAUGCAGGGCAUUUGAGGCCGUGGGGGGCACAGAGAUGCAACUCUAGGUCUCAGGAGAGGGUGGGAGACAACGAAUUGAGACAUAUUCUGAGAGCAGCAGGGAGCCAUAGGAGGAGUUGAAGCAUUUGGGCAAUUGCAGGUAUCUGAGGCUGCAGGGAGGACAGAGUAGACUGAAAGCCAGAGGGUGGGGAGAAGGAAGGCUGAACUGAGGCCAAGGCCAUCAGAAGUGGGGCUCUCCAAAGGGUCACCUCACCCUCCUCCAAGAAGUCUUCCUGGCUUCUCUUCCCCAUGGGUUUGCUACCCCAUUUCCGCUGGGACUCAGCAGCUUUCACUAUCUUCACCCUGGGUGUGGGGAGUGCAGGGGUCAUAUGGGACCAACUGAUGAGGACCAGUCAGGUGGGGUGGCUGGCUCUGCCACUAGAUUGGGGUUGGGGGAUCCUGGCACCGCCCACUGGGUCUGGCUUCCUUCCCCGCCCAGGAAGCUACCAGUCCUGUCAGACUUGUUGACCAGGGAGGCACUGGAGUCUCGCUCCAGUGUCUUCAGAGGUGCAGCCAGCACCAUGGACACCUCAUGGGCUCUGCUGCUCUUCCUGUUUCUGGCCUCUGGAAGAGAGGUCCUCACCCAUGGAGCCUCUUCUGGAGUUCAGCAAACCAAUUUCUCCUUGGACUCAGAAAGCUCUUCCCAGGGCCCAGGUUCAAAAGUCUCCUACAUCAACCCCCCCAGCUGGAAACUUCCAGAUCAGUUUCCAGGUUCAAAUGCCACGGUUGCUAUCCCUCAUCCCAAAUGGUUUUCCGAGGCCUCAAAUUUUAACGAUGUGCCUAGGUCCGUCUGGUCAAAUGUUUCUGCUGAGGGCCAAAAGUUGAGCCUGGAUCCUACCUUCUCUGAAAUCCCUGAUUCUGAAGUAUUUUCUGAUAUCUUGGGUUCUCAAGUUCCUGCCAAAGACUCAGAGCCCUCCUCUGUUAAGACCCCAGCUUUGAACAUUUCAGCUCCGGUCCCAGCUACUGAAGUACUUAUUGAGACCCCAGGUUCAAAAGCCUCCCCUGAGGAUCAUGAUCUUGAAAUCUCUGCCCAGAAACCUGAGUCCAAAGUAAUUGCAGGAGCCCAGCCAGGGGAAAGCUUCCCCCAGCAGGUGGGGAGGCCUCUUUCGGUGCUAGUGGGGACCACCAUCCAGCUUCCUCUAGUUCCAAUUCCCAGCCCUGGCCCUCCUGCUCCUCUGGUUGUCUGGCGCCGUGGCUCCAAGGUGCUGGCUGCAGGAGGCCUGGGGCCAGGGGCGCCCCUGAUCAGCUUGGACCCUGCUUACCGAGACCGCUUACGAUUUGACCAGGCCCAAGGGGGCCUGGAACUUGCUUCUGCCGGGCUGGAGGAUGCUGGUCUCUACACUGCUGAGGUUAUCCGGGCUGGGGUUUCCCGGCAGAUUCGGGAGUUCACGGUGGGUGUGUAUGAGCCCCUGCCCCAGCUGUCGGUGCAGCCCCACACCCCCGAGACAGAGGAGGGGGCGGCCGAGCUCCGGCUGCGCUGCCUGGGGUGGGGGCCUGGUCGUGGAGAGCUGAGCUGGAGCCAGGACGGACGCACCCUGGAGGCGACAGACCGUGAGGGAGCGGAACCACCCCGGAUCCGCACAGAGGGCGACCAGCUGCUCAUCAUGCGUCCCGUGCGCAGCGACCAGGCCCGGUACACCUGUCGCGUCCGCAGCCCUUUCGGCCACACCGAGGCUGCGGCCGACGUCAGAGUCUUCUACGGCCCGGAUGCGCCGGUCAUCAAGAUCUCCUCGGACCGCGACGCCGCCCCCGCCCUCUUUGUCACUGCGGGCAGCAACGUGACCCUGCGCUGCACCGCCGCCUCGCGGCCGCCCGCCGACAUCGCGUGGAGCCUGGCCGACCCGGCCGAGGCCGCGGUGCCCGCCGGCCCGCGUCUCCUGCUGCCCGCGGUCGGCCCGGGCCACGCCGGCACCUACGCCUGCCUUGCGGCGAACCCGCGCACUGGCCGCCGCCGCCGCUCUCUGCUCAACCUCACGGUGGCGGAUCUGCCUCCCGGGUCCCCGCAGUGUUCAGUCGAAGGCGGUCCAGGGGACCGCAGCCUGCGCUUCCGCUGCGCGUGGCCCGGCGGGGUCCCCGCCGCCUCCCUGCAGUUCCAGGGUCUCCCCGAAGGCGUCCGCGCGGGGCCGGUGGCCUCUGCGCUCCUGGCAGCGGUCCCCGCCCACCCCCGGCUCAGCGGCGUCCCGGUCACCUGCCUUGCCCGCCACCUGAUGACCACGCGCACCUGCACUGUCACCCCUGGGAGAAGGGCCACAAUUUCUUUCCUGGAUCCAGAAAGAGACACCUUCCUACGUGUCCAGUGCAAUAAAUGGUUGAGAAUAAUACGAGUUCCGCAGUCUAGAACCUGGCUGCUAAGGCCCCUCGGGAAGUGCUGCUGCAUCCCACAGUGGAGGAAACACGGUCAGGGGAGGUGGAGGUGGUGCUGCAGGCCACUGGCUGCCCUCCACCAUCGAGAGCCUCUUGGGCCCGGGCAGGGCAGCCUGUGGCCCCAGGAGGUGGGAGUCGCCUGCGGCUCAGCCAAGAUGGGCGCAGGCUCCUCAUUAGCAACUUCAGUCUGGACUGGGACCUGGGAAAUUACUCCGUGUUGUGCAGCGGGGCGCUGGGUGCUGGGGGCAACCAGAUCACUCUCACUGGUCCCCCCCUGGGCUCUGGGGCCAUUGCUGGCAUCGUCCUGGGUUCCCUACUGGGCCUGGCCCUCCUAGCAUUGCUUCUCUACAAGUGCAUCCGCUGCCUGUGCAGUUUUAGGGAAGACACUCUUAAGAAAAACAAGUGUCCUCCCUCCUUGACCCCUGUGGUUCCCCCACCGGAAAAAAAGAUGCAGAGCAUAACCCCAGUGCAGACCCCACAGCCUCUGCCCUUCAAAGUGCCGCUGGAGGACCCUAGCCCAAACAGGGCCCACCAGGUCACUGGCCCCAGUCCAGUCAUCUCUCCGGGUGGGGGCCUAAGGACUGUUCGGGCAGCCACACAGGUGUGACGGGGCCCACUCUGCACAGGACUUUUUGGCAGGACUGGUUGCCUGGAGGACCAAACCUGUGAUUAGAGGAUUGGAAAUUUCAGUUCUACACGCUCCCCACCCCCACCUCCAGGAGGAGGAGGGACUGGAUGUUGAAUCAACCAAUGGCCAGUGGCGUAGUCAAUCAUGACUGUAAAAUGAAGCCUACGAACAAACCCCAGAGGACAGCUCUUUGACCCAUUUCAGCAGAGCUUCUAUGCUGGGGGAACCAGAAUGCCCCCAUGUACCACUAAACUGGGUCCCCAAGCCCCACAACCACAGAGAUUCCUUUGGGAGCUUGCCCUGUGUAUCUCUUCAUCUGGCUGUUGGUUUAUAUCCUUUCUCAUGUCCUUUAAAUAAAAUGUUAAAUGUAA